rnacentral:rRNA from 1 species
ACGAGUUAUCUGAACCUUCGGGGAACGAUAACGGCGUCGAGCGGCGGACGGGUGAGUAAUGCCUAGGAAAUUGCCCUGAUGUGGGGGAUAACCAUUGGAAACGAUGGCUAAUACCGCAUAAUGCCUACGGGCCAAAGAGGGGGACCUUCGGGCCUCUCGCGUCAGGAUAUGCCUAGGUGGGAUUAGCUAGUUGGUGAGGUAAUGGCUCACCAAGGCGACGAUCCCUAGCUGGUCUGAGAGGAUGAUCAGCCACACUGGAACUGAGACACGGUCCAGACUCCUACGGGAGGCAGCAGUGGGGAAUAUUGCACAAUGGGCGCAAGCCUGAUGCAGCCAUGCCGCGUGUGUGAAGAAGGCCUUCGGGUUGUAAAGCACUUUCAGUCGUGAGGAAGGUAGUGUAGUUAAUAGCUGCAUUAUUUGACGUUAGCGACAGAAGAAGCACCGGCUAACUCCGUGCCAGCAGCCGCGGUAAUACGGAGGGUGCGAGCGUUAAUCGGAAUUACUGGGCGUAAAGCGCAUGCAGGUGGUUUGUUAAGUCAGAUGUGAAAGCCCGGGGCUCAACCUCGGAAUAGCAUUUGAAACUGGCAGACUAGAGUACUGUAGAGGGGGGUAGAAUUUCAGGUGUAGCGGUGAAAUGCGUAGAGAUCUGAAGGAAUACCGGUGGCGAAGGCGGCCCCCUGGACAGAUACUGACACUCAGAUGCGAAAGCGUGGGGAGCAAACAGGAUUAGAUACCCUGGUAGUCCACGCCGUAAACGAUGUCUACUUGGAGGUUGUGGCCUUGAGCCGUGGCUUUUCGGAGCUAACGCGUUAAGUAGACCGCCUGGGGAGUACGGUCGCAAGAUUAAAACUCAAAUGAAUUGACGGGGGCCCGCACAAGCGGUGGAGCAUGUGGUUUAAUUCGAUGCAACGCGAAGAACCUUACCUACUCUUGACAUCCAGAGAACUUU